rnacentral:lncRNA from 1 species
CUCUGCUCAUGGGUGAGGUGGAGGAAGGAUGAAGGAAGGCUCCUAGGUACCAGGACCAGACCACAGCCCCUCAGAAGGAGCCCUGCCACGGAGCGCAGGUAUGGCAAAAGAAAUAAAGGAAUGAGUUUGGAAUAGACGCAAGGUGCUACAGCAAUAAGAAGGCAGCAUGGUGGAGCAGGGGCGCACCUGGAGACACUGAGUCUGAGCUUGUGUCCCAGUCUCAUCACUUCCCAGCCGCGAUAACUUGGACCAAUAACUGAGCUUAGCUGCACCUCACUUUCCUCAGUGGUGUCCUUUGCCCUGGGGUCUUCUCUGGAGCCCGCACAGUGGACUGAAUGCAGGAAGAGAAGCUGGCAUAUUACUGAGGGAAGAUAAACUGAAAGACAGUCAUCUUCUUGCCGUGUCCUCGGAUGGCCUUUCCUCUCCGCACACGCAGAGACUGAGUGAGCUCUGUUGUGUCUCCUCCUCCUUUUCUGAGGACAUCAACC